UACAGAGGUCUCAAGCGUUGUUCGGAUUCAUUGGGCGUAAAGGGUGUGUAGGUGGCGCCGUAAGUCGGGGGUGAAAUCUCGGGGCUUAACUCCGAAACUGCAUUCGAUACUGCGGUGCUUGAGGACUGGAGAGGAGACUGGAAUUCCUGGUGUAGCGGUGGAAUGCGCAGAUAUCAGGAGGAACACCGGUGGCGAAGGCGGGUCUCUGGGCAGUAACUGACGCUGAGGAGCGAAAGCGUGGGGAGCGAACAGG
rnacentral:rRNA from 1 species